ACGGAGAACCCGGCUGGCGGCGUGCCUAAUACAUGCAAGUCGAACGGUCUUUCUAUGGAAGCUUGCUUCCACUGAGAGGAUAGUGGCGAACGGGUGAGUAACACGUGGGUAACCUGCCCAUAAGAGGGGGAUAACAUCCGGAAACGGGUGCUAAUACCGCAUAGUUUUCUUGAUCGCAUGAUCGGGAAAGGAAAGACGGCCUUUGUGCUGUCGCUUAUGGAUGGACCCGCGGCGUAUUAGUUAGUUGGUGAGGUAACGGCUCACCAAGACGAUGAUACGUAGCCGACCUGAGAGGGUGAUCGGCCACAUUGGGACUGAGACACGGCCCAAACUCCUACGGGAGGCAGCAGUAGGGAAUCUUCCGCAAUGGACGAAAGUCUGACGGAGCAACGCCGCGUGAGUGAAAGAAGGUUUUCGGAUCGUAAAACUCUGUUGUCAGAGAAGAACAAGUUGGAGAGUAACUGCUCCAGCCUUGACGGUAUCUGACCAGAAAGCCACGGCUAACUACGUGCCAGCCGCCGC
rnacentral:rRNA from 1 species